CCCAUUGUCUUGUUUUCUUCCAGAUCAGGCAACCCUCUGCCUUCAUCCGUCACAGCGCUGGGGGGAACGCUGAUGUUUAAAGGAAAGUCCUCUGAUCUGGCUGGCUUCUACACCUGCGUGGCAAAUAACACAUAUGGAAGCAAACAAAAUACCCUCUAUGUACAUUUCGACUCAGCAGCCUGCAUAGAUGGCUGGAUCGCUUUUAUUCUUCUUCUUCUGGUCUUGAUUGUGGGAAUCGGUGUGUUUCUGUACAAAAAAGGAUCGAUACAACUUCCAAGUUGUAUGAGAUCAAGAGGAGAAGAAGUACAACGUCA